UACGUAGGGAGCAAGCGUUGUCCGGAUUUACUGGGUGUAAAGGGUGCGUAGGCGGCUUUGCAAGUCAGAAGUGAAAUCCAUGGGCUUAACCCAUGAACUGCUUUUGAAACUGCAGGGCUUGAGUGGAGUAGUGGUAGGCGGAAUUCCCGGUGUAGCGGUGAAAUGCGUAGAGAUCGGGAGGAACACCAGUGGCGAAGGCGGCCUGCUGGGCUCUAACUGACGCUGAGGCGCGAAAGCGUGGGGAGCAAACAGG
rnacentral:rRNA from 1 species